rnacentral:rRNA from 1 species
CCGCCCGGGGCGCGCCCCGGGCGGGGCGGGGGCACGGGGGUUGGAGGGCAAGUCUGGUGCCAGCAGCCGCGGUAAUUCCAGCUCCAAUAGCGUAUAUUAAAGUUGUUGCAGUUAAAAAGCUCGUAGUUGAAUUUCGGGAUCAAUAUGUUGGUCGUGCCUUGGUACGUACUGGCGUCAUUGGUUUCUACCUUCUGAAGAAC